UCGUCUCCUGAUUGAUGGUUCAGAUCUUGACUUUGUAACCAAGGGACUUUCCUAUCCAGUGGCUGGAUGGAUCUCUGUGGCUUUGUCCAGUGAGAAGACAGGUGACCACUAAUAGGAACUGGGUCAAGAUGGCGAAGAUUCAGGAAGGUCCGCCAACCCCAGGGAUGACUGAGAAGCAGCUGCGGAAUCUGAAGGGAAUCUGUGACUAUGCCUACAGCCACCUGCCCCGGACUAAUUCCUUACAAAUUCAUGGCCAUACUUGAUGCCGACCGCCAUAACAUCACCCUGGCUGCCUAAUUUAGUAGGACCCUGAGCCAAAGGGAGCCACUGACAGGCUUGCCAGAAAACUUCAUGCAGGAGGAGCGAUUCUGUGUUGGAGCCUAUCUAAAUGAAGCAAUCGGAUUCUCUCAGAGUGUAUCAGAGAGGGAGAGAGAGCACGAGGGGGAGAAAGGGAGGGAGAGAGAGGAAGGGAACAAAGCAAGGAGAGAGAGAGAGAGAGAGGAAGAGGGGAAAGAAGGAGAAACACUGUCACUCUCUGGGCAGGGCUGACCCUUAUAGGCAAUCACAUUCUGUACUCUCUUUGCUUCCUUUCUUUGGCCAGAAGACGAAGUGCCAUUGCCUGUGUCCUCUGUGUCCAACCAUCUGGCAGGUGCAUCCAGCUAACCACGUGCCUUCAGCCACCUUCCAGAUUGGCCUGGAAUGAAACCCCCAUAUACUGUGUACUCAAGCCUCCCACCAGCUCUCUGCAGAACCUACUGGGAAUUCACAGCCUCCAGUCGGCGGCGGCACCCAUGUG